GUUCCUGUAGUUGAAUGACAAUGGUGGUUUUUCAGGCCAUUGGUUUCGGUGUAAAUCCGAGUUGGAACG
rnacentral:tRNA from 2 species